UACGGAGGGGACUAGCGUUGUUCGGAAUUACUGGGCGUAAAGCGCACGUAGGCGGAUUUGUAAGUCAGGGGUGAAAUCCCGGGGCUCAACCUCGGAACUGCCUUUGAUACUGCAAAUCUCGAGUCCGGAAGAGGUGAGUGGAAUUCCUAGUGUAGAGGUGAAAAUUCGUAGAUAUUAGGAAGAACACCAGUGGCGAAGGCGGCUCACUGGUCCGGUACUGACGCUGAGGUGCGAAAGCGUGGGGGAGCAAACAGGG
rnacentral:rRNA from 1 species